UUCUGGUUGAUCCCGCCGGAGGCCAUUGCUAUUGGAGUUGGAUUUAGCCAUGCUAGUCGCACGAGUUCAGACUCGUGGCAGAUAGCUCAGUAACACGUGGUCAAACUACCCUAUGGAGGAGAACAAUCUCGGGAAACUGAGGCUAAUUCUCCACAAGGCUCUCCCACUGGAAGGUGGAGAGCUGGAAACGCGCCAGCGCCAUAGGAUGUGACUGCGGCCGAUUAGGUAGACGGUGGGGUAACGGCCCACCGUGCCCAUAAUCGGUACGGGUUGUGAGAGCAAGAGCCCGGAGACGGUAUCUGAGACAAGAUACCGGGCCCUACGGGGCGCAGCAGGCGCGAAACCUUUACACUGCACGACAGUGCGAUAAGGCAACUCCAAGUGUGCAGGCAUAGUGCCUGCACUUUUCAGCACCGUAAGGAGGUGCUGGAAUAAGGACUGGGCAAGACCGGUGCCAGCGGCCGCGGUAAUACCGGCAGUCCAAGUGAUGGCCGAUCUUAUUGGGCCUAAAGCGUCCGUAGCCGGCCGUGCAAGUCCGUUGGGAAAUCCGCGCGCUCAACGCGCGGGCGACCAGCGGAAACUGCACGGCUUGGGACCGGAAGGCUCGAGGAGUACGUCCGGGGUAGGAGUGAAAUCCUGUAAUCCUGGACGGACUACCGAUGGCGAAAGCACCUCGAGAAGACGGAUCCGACGGUGAGGGACGAAAGCUAGGGUCUCGAACCGGAUUAGAUACCCGGGUAGUCCUAGCCGUAAACGAUGCCCGUUAGGUGUGGCACAGGCUACGAGCCUGUGCUGUGCCGUAGUGAAGACGAUUAACGGGCCGCCUGGGAAGUACGUCCGCAAGGAUGAAACUUAAAGGAAUUGGCGGGGGAGCACUACAACCGGAGGAGCCUGCGGUUUAAUUGGAUUCAACGCCGGA
rnacentral:rRNA from 1 species